rnacentral:rRNA from 1 species
GAUGAACGCUGGCGGCGUGCCUAAUACAUGCAAGUCGAGCGAACAGACGAGGAGCUUGCUCCUCUGACGUUAGCGGCGGACGGGUGAGUAACACGUGGAUAACCUACCUAUAAGACUGGGAUAACUUCGGGAAACCGGAGCUAAUACCGGAUAAUAUAUUGAACCGCAUGGUUCAAUAGUGAAAGACGGUUUUGCUGUCACUUAUAGAUGGAUCCGCGCCGCAUUAGCUAGUUGGUAAGGUAACGGCUUACCAAGGCGACGAUGCGUAGCCGACCUGAGAGGGUGAUCGGCCACACUGGAACUGAGACACGGUCCAGACUCCUACGGGAGGCAGCAGUAGGGAAUCUUCCGCAAUGGGCGAAAGCCUGACGGAGCAACGCCGCGUGAGUGAUGAAGGUCUUCGGAUCGUAAAACGCUGUUAUUAGGGAAGAACAAAUGUGUAAGUAACUAUGCACGUCUUGACGGUACCUAAUCAGAAAGCCACGGCUAACUACGU